CGGGGACUGAUCCGGAAGUGAUGUGACAAGUGAAGGGGGCGAAUAGACGGGAUCAGAUGGAGAUGAAGCCCCCCCCCGCACUGCAGCUGCUACAAGUGAUUGUGCACUACCCAGUGACUUACAUAUGGGGUGGUAUAAAAUAAAUAAUAAAUAAAAUAAAACCAAAACAACCAACAUCUGGGAACCCAAGACUGAGAACCUCUGUCCUAAUAUUACCUCACAGCAAACUGAAUCACGUGGAUUAUGGAGCACCACCUGAAGAUCCUGAAAUCCUAGAUGCAACACGGAGAAAUGCAGAUUAUUCCAAGGAGAGGAUCUCCAGUGAAUGGGACUGAUAGAAGAUGGUUUAGAAUUGUGAUGCAUUAACCCAC